ensembl:lncRNA
AGCCCACUGGCUUCUCAGCGGUCACCUCUCUACCUCUGCCUCUCUCUGCCUGUGUCUCUCUCUCAGUGAGCGAACAUUCAGUCUCUCUCUUACUCUCUGAGUCGUCAGGUUGAAUUUCUCUCUUCUUUUUCCCUUGUUAUGACCCAUUUGAGGAGCACCUUCCAUAGAGACAGACACACCAAGAUGAACGGUGAGCUGAGAGCUGUUCGCACCACUACAGGCAAGAGAGGAAGCAGCGAUCAUGACAGUGAAGAUGGCAGAGCUUCUUGCCAUAAAGAGUGAGCUGACAGUGAUCAAGGUUCAGAUUGAUGGCCUGUUGGACUGCGUAGACAAGAUGGACAGACAGCGGAAGGACUGUUCAGAGUGUCCUCAGAGCAGGGAGUCCAGUGUGUUGAACUCUCCUCACCAAGGUUCAGUCUGCAGUGUGGAGAGAGAGAGUCCUGAACCAGGAGAGGCCAGUGCAGAUGAGUCACUGCACUACCAGGACUACUACCCCCACAGCUACUCCCACAGGCUACCCCAACAGGGCAAAUACUGUGUGUACCACUACAACCCCCAUGUGGCGAUUAUAUACCCAAUACCAUCAAAGUCAGGGGUUUAAAUGGGCUGGAGCCCACUGGCCUUGGCCUCCUGAUAUCACAGUCCUGCCAGAGUUUUUCACUGCAGCAUCACACAGCAGGACAAUCCUUGUUGUCUCCAAACUCAGAGAGACAAUUUACACAGGUGGCACAGCAGCAGCAGCUCCAUUAACUGUUUACACCUUGUGUCAUUGUGAUCUUACACAGCCAACCUAAAUGCCUUUCUGCAGAGCAAAUGCGCAGAUUCACAGUUUCUGAAGUAAAAUGAAACAAAGUGGAUGAACACAGCUCAGGAUACAUCCUACGCCAUCAGAGCUGACCAAACAACUUUUUUUUCAGCAAACAUUCAAAUAAUGUUUCCUUGAAAGAAUUUUUCUAAUGUAGGAAGUUUCAGUUUUGCAUUUUGUAACAGAAUGAUAUUUGCAGCAGUAGCUUAUUAUAUUACUGCAUGCAAUCAUCAAUUAAAUUCAAGCAACAGUUUUAAAAAAAAUUCAGGACUCCACGGUGCUUCAAAGAGGUCAAUGUUUUUUCUUCAAAUUUCUUUAAAAUGUUGCUUCAUCCAGUUUGCUAAGAUUACAGAGAACACGGUACAAUAUUCAAAUGAUUUGAAAUUUCACCAAUUCAAUGGAGAUGAAUGGAAUUUAGUUUUUUUAGUUUAAAGAAUAACAUUUCGAGGAUACAGCUGCAAUGUCUCUUUCCACAAGCAAUGCUCUCGUUACUUAAACUACAUUUACGGAACGCAGUUUUCACUAGAGUCCAGUACUUUCAAGCAAAGACGUGCCUAUUUCUACGGUCUUCAUUCUAGUUUUUGAGCCCCAGCCUUAUUGAAGCAGGUUCCCCUGAACACAGAUUAAUCUCGCAGCCUUCAGCUGU